UACGGAGGGUGCGAGCGUUGUCCGGAAUCAUUGGGCGUAAAGGGCGCGUAGGCGGCUUCUCAAGCGUGCGGUGAAAGUCCGGGGCUCAACUCCGGAUCUGCGGUGGGUACGGGCAGACUAGAGUGAUGUAGGGGAGACUGGAAUUCCUGGUGUAGCGGUGAAAUGCGCAGAUAUCAGGAGGAACACCGAUGGCGAAGGCAGGUCUCUGGGCAUUAACUGACGCUGAGGAGCGAAAGCAUGGGGAGCGAACAGG
rnacentral:rRNA from 1 species